GGGGUUGAUGGCUGUUGAUGCCAUCAACACUUGGACGGAAACCCGCAGGUCACGGAAGGUCGCCAGAAGUUAACCAAAAUCGCUGAUGCGCAGGUCAGAGGCUAGAAACCUGGGGAAAUCAAGGGGUUCGAGUCCCCUUAGCUCCACCA
rnacentral:tRNA from 1 species